GAUGAACGCUGGCGGCGUGCCUAAUACAUGCAAGUCGAGCGAACGGACGCGAAGCUUGCUUCUCUGAUGUUAGCGGCGGACGGGUGAGUAACACGUGUAUAACCUACCUAUCAGACUGGGAUAACUUCGGGAAACCGUAGCUUAUACCGGAGAAUCUUUUGAACCGCGUGGUUCAAAAGUGAGAGUCGGUCUUGGGGUCACUUAUAGCUGGAUCUGCGCUGCAUUAGCUGGUUGUGAAGGUCCAGGCUUACCAAGGCGAGGAUGCAUAGCCGACGGGAGUGGGUGAUAGGCCACCUGGGAGGGGAGCCGCGGACCUGACUCCUAAGAGAGGCACCAGAAGGGAAUCGUACGCAAUGGUGGAAAGCCUGACGGAGCAAGCGCGCGUGAGAGAUGAAGGUCCUCGGAUCGUAAAACUCUGUUAUUAGUGAAGAACAGAUGUGUAAGUAACUGUGCACAUAUUGACGGUACCGAAUCAGAAAGCACCGGCUAACUACGUG
rnacentral:rRNA from 1 species